GACGAUCCCUAGCUGGUCUGAGAGGAUGACCAGCCACACUGGAACUGAGACACGGUCCAGACUCCUACGGGAGGCAGCAGUGGGGAAUAUUGCACAAUGGGCGCAAGCCUGAUGCAGCCAUGCCGCGUGUAUGAAGAAGGCCUUCGGGUUGUAAAGUACUUUCAGCGGGGAGGAAGGGAGUAAAGUUAAUACCUUUGCUCAUUGACGUUACCCGCAGAAGAAGCACCGGCUAACUCCGUGCCAGCAGCCGCGGUAAUACGGAGGGUGCAAGCGUUAAUCGGAAUUACUGGGCGUAAAGCGCACGCAGGCGGUUUGUUAAGUCAGAUGUGAAAUCCCCGGGCUCAACCUGGGAACUGCAUC
rnacentral:rRNA from 1 species